UACGUAGGGGGCAAGCGUUGUCCGGAAUCAUUGGGCGUAAAGCGCGUGUAGGCGGUCCGGUAAGUCGGCUGUGAAAGUCCAGGGCUCAACCCUGGGAUGCCGGUCGAUACUGCCGGACUAGAGUUCGGAAGAGGCGAGUGGAAUUCCCGGUGUAGCGGUGAAAUUCGUAGAUAUCGGGAGGAACACCGGUGGCGAAGGCGGGUCUCUGGGCCGAUACUGA
rnacentral:rRNA from 1 species